UACGAAGGGGGGCUAGCGUUGUUCGGAAUUACUGGGCGUAAAGCGCGCGCAGGCGGUCUUCCAAGUCAGUGGUGAAAGCCCGGAGCUCAACUCCGGAACUGCCAUUGAAACUGUUAGACUUGAGGACGAGAGGGGUGAGUGGAAUUCCCAGUGUAGAGGUGAAAUUCGUAGAUAUUGGGAAGAACACCGGUGGCGAAGGCGGCUCACUGGCUCGUAUCUGACGCUCAGGCGCGACAGCGUGGGGAUCAAACAGG
rnacentral:rRNA from 1 species